rnacentral:rRNA from 1 species
GACAGAGGGUGCAAACGUUGUUCGGAAUUACUGGGCGUAAAGCGAGUGUAGGCGGUCUCAAAAGUCGGGUGUGAAAGCCCUGGGCUCAACCCAGGAAGUGCACUCGAAACUGCGAGGCUAGAGUAUCGGAGAGGUUGGUGGAAUUCUCGGUGUAGAGGUGAAAUUCGUAGAUAUCUGGAGGAACACCGGUGGCGAAGGCGGCAUCCUGGACCAACACUGACGCUGAGGGAGCGAAAGCCAGGGGAGCAAACGGG